UGGGGAAUAUUGGACAAUGGGCGCAAGCCUGAUCCAGCCAUGCCGCGUGUGUGAAGAAGGCCUUAUGGUUGUAAAGCACUUUAAGCGAGGAGGAGGCUACUUUAGUUAAUACCUAGAGAUAGUGGACGUUACUCGCAGAAUAAGCACCGGCUAACUCUGUGCCAGCAGCCGCGGUAAUACAGAGGGUGCAAGCGUUAAUCGGAUUUACUGGGCGUAAAGCGCGCGUAGGUGGUUCGUUAAGUUGAAUGUGAAAGCCCCGGGCUCAACCUGGGAACUGCAUCCAAAACUGGCGGGCUAGAGUAGGGCAGAGGGUGGUGGAAUUUCCUGUGUAGCGGUGAAAUGCGUAGAUAUAGGAAGGAACACCAGUGGCGAAGGCGACCACCUGGGCUCAUACUGACACUGAGGUGCGAAAGCGUGGGGAGCAAACAGG
rnacentral:rRNA from 1 species